rnacentral:rRNA from 1 species
GACAGAGGGUGCAAACGUUGUUCGGAAUUACUGGGCGUAAAGCGCGUGUAGGCGGCCCAGCAAGUCGGAUGUGAAAGCCCUGGGCUUAACCUAGGAAGUGCAUUCGAAACUGCUGGGCUUGAGUUCUGGAGAGGAAGGCGGAAUUGACGGUGUAGCGGUGAAAUGCUUAGAUAUCGUCAAGAACACCUAUAGCGAAGGCAGCUUACUAGGCUGUAACUGACGCUGAGGCACGAAAGUGUGGGGAUCAAACAGG